AGAAUCAACGCUGGCGGCGUGCCUAACACAUGCAAGUCGAACGAGAAAGUGGAGCAAUCCAUGAGUAAAGUGGCGCACGGGUGAGUAACACGUGACUAACCUACCCUUGAGUGGGGGAUAACCUAGAGAAAUCUGGGCUAAUACCGCAUAAUACCUACGGGUCAAAGGAGCAAUUCGCUUUAGGAGGGGGUCGCGGCCGAUUAGUUAGUUGGCGGGGUAAUGGCCCACCAAGACAGUGAUCGGUAUCCGGCCUGAGAGGGCGCACGGACACACUGGAACUGAAACACGGUCCAGACUCCUACGGGAGGCAGCAGUGGGAAUUUGCGCAAUGGGGGAAACCCUGACGCAGCAACGCCGCGUGGAGGAUGAAGCCCCUUGGGGCGUAAACUCCUUUCGAUCGGGACGAUAAUGACGGUACCGAGAGAAGAGCCCCGGCUAACUUCGUGCCAGCAGCCGC
rnacentral:rRNA from 1 species